rnacentral:rRNA from 1 species
CCUACGGGUGGCAGCAGUGAGGAAUAUUGGUCAAUGGACGAGAGUCUGAACCAGCCAAGUAGCGUGAAGGAUGACUGCCCUAUGGGUUGUAAACUUCUUUUAUAUGGGAAUAAAACGUUCCACGUGUGGGAUUUUGUAUGUACCAUCUGAAUAAGGAUCGGCUAACUCCGUGCCAGCAGCCGCGGUAAUACGGAGGAUCCGAGCGUUAUCCGGAUUUAUUGGGUUUAACGGGAGCGUAGGUGGAUUGUUAAGUCAGUUGUGAAAGUUUGCGGCUCAACCGUAAAAUUGCAGUUGAAACUGGCAGUCUUGAGUACAGUAGAGGUGGGCGGAAUUCGUGGUGUAGCGGUGAAAUGCUUAGAUAUCACGAAGAACUCCGAUUGCGAAGGCAGUUCACUGGACUGCAACUGACACUGAGGCUCGAAAGUGUGGGUAUCAAACAGGAUUAGAUACCCUUGUAGUC